GCUCCCUGAUGUUAGCGGCGGACGGGUGAGUAACACGUGGGUAACCUGCCUGUAAGACUGGGAUAACUCCGGGAAACCGGGGCUAAUACCGGAUGCUUGUUUGAACCGCAUGGUUCAAACAUAAAAGGUGGCUUCGGCUACCACUUACAGAUGGACCCGCGGCGCAUUAGCUAGUUGGUGAGGUAACGGCUCACCAAGGCAACGAUGCGUAGCCGACCUGAGAGGGUGAUCGGCCACACUGGGACUGAGACACGGCCCAGACUCCUACGGGAGGCAGCAGUAGGGAAUCUUCCGCAAUGGACGAAAGUCUGACGGAGCAACGCCGCGUGAGUGAUGAAGGUUUUCGGAUCGUAAAGCUCUGUUGUUAGGGAAGAACAAGUACCGUUCGAAUAGGGCGGUACCUUGACGGUACCUAACCAGAAAGCCACGGCUAACUACGUGCCAGCAGCCGCGGUAAUACGUAGGUGGCAAGCGUUGUCCGGAAUUAUUGGGCGUAAAGGGCUCGCAGGCGGUUUCUUAAGUCUGAUGUGAAAGCCCCCGGCUCAACCGGGGAGGGUCAUUGGAAACUGGGGAACUUGAGUGCAGAAGAGGAGAGUGGAAUUCCACGUGUAGCGGUGAAAUGCGUAGAGAUGUGGAGGAACACCAGUGGCGAAGGCGACUCUCUGGUCUGUAACUGACGCUGAGGAGCGAAAGCGUGGGG
rnacentral:rRNA from 1 species